rnacentral:rRNA from 1 species
AGGACAAACGGGGUCAAGACCUUCGGGUUUUGAUUCAGCGGCGGACGGCUGAGUAGCACGUGGCUGACCUAUCCGACAGUGGGGGAUAGCCCGGGGAAACGCGGGGUAAGCCCGCAUGUGCUUGGUGGUGUAGAGGCCAUCAAGGAAAAGCCUGUAAGGGUUGCUGACGGAGGGGGCCGCGGCCCAUCAGGUAGUUGGUGUAGUGAAGGUGCACCAAGCCGAUGACGGGUGGCCGGUCUGAGAGGACGGACGGCCAGACUGGGACUGCGACACGGCCCAGACACCUACGGGUGGCAGCAGCUAGGGAUCUUGCCCAAUGGCCGAAAGGCUGAGGCAGCGACGCCGCGUGCGGGAAGACGGCCCUCGGGUUGUAAACCGCUUUUCUGCGAGACGAGGAUGGACGGUAUCGCAGGAAGAAGCACCGGCUAACUCCGUGCCAGCAGCCGCGGUAAGACGGAGGGUGCGAGCGUUGUCCGGAUUUACUGGGCGUAAAGGGCGCGUAGGCGGCUUGGACAGUCGGUUGUGAAAGGCGAGGGCUUCACUCUCGUUAGGCAAGCGAGACGUACGAGCUGGAGGGUGGUCGAGGGAGACAGAAUGCCGGGUGUAGUGGUGAAAUGCGUAGAGAUCCGGCGGAAUACCAGUGGCGAAGGCGGUCUUCUAGGCCAUUACAGACGCUGAGGCGCGAGAGCGUGGGGAGCGAACCGGAUUAGAUACCCGGGUAGUCCACGCCGUAAACGGUGCGCACCAGGUGUGGGGGGUAUCGACCCCUCCCACGCCGGAGUUAACGCAAUGAGUGCCUCGCCUGGGGAGUACGGCCGCAAGGCUAAAACUCAAAUGAAUUGACGGGG